rnacentral:rRNA from 1 species
AUGAUUGAGGAUAUGGCUGGAAGAAUGGAUGACACAUUCUUUAUGGCCUGGCUUGCGGUUGCCUUUAGCACUUUCCUAGCACCAACCACGGCCUUGAAGCUCAGCCCAAAGUGUUACGGACUUGUGCUAGAUCAUGAAAUGAUCAAGAACACAAACAUCUGCCUCUUUGUAGCAGAACACAUUAACAAAGCUUUCCGGAACAUGGACCAGGAGAAGCAAACUAUCUGCUGCUGCUUGUAUCACUUGAUGAUACUAUACCUUGAUGCGCUUGUCCACGACAUCCCAGUAAGAAACUGCGCGAUACGAUCGAAUGCAUGGGAUAGUGCUCUAAUUGCCAAGGUGAUCAAGAAGGAUACCAUCUCUCCUGUGGAGUAUAGAGGCACGGAGCAGACACCACUGUUUGGUGGAAUUUUGCAAGCUGAAGCAUUCGUGGCAUCCAAGUUACCAAUAACCUACAAUCCACAGAAAAAGGCAAAGAUUGCGAAAGUGGUCAAUGACCUGUGCAAGGAGGAGGAGGAGGAGGAGGAGGAGGAGGAGGACAAACAAGAAGAGGACAAAGGAGAGGAGGAGGAGGAGGAAGAAGAUAGUGAGGCAGAGGAGGAGGAAGAAGAAGGUGAGGCCGAAGAGGGGGACGGGGACAAAGGCGUAGCAGUUGAUGGCAGUGAGAGGGGAGAAGACAAAGGCGCAGCAGUUGAUGGCAGUGAGAGGGAAGAAGACGACGAUGAAGAAGACGAGGACGGUUAUGGUGAUGAUGUUGGGGGAUCCAAUGGAGGUAGCGACAGCAGUGAUGAUGACGAUGAUGACAACGCCCCUGGUUGUGGUGGUACAGGAGGCAACACAUCCAGGAGGACUAGCACUUCUGCCACCCCUGCCAGCAGCAGCAAUUCAUUGAGUAGCAGGAGCACACUACAGAUGUUAAUCGACAAAACUUGCUGGAAAGACAAGGAUUUGCCGAAGUCAAAGAAAAAUGACGAAGCAGAGUCUCAGGGCAGCAUUGAUAUGUUCAAACUCUGCAACUUGAAGCCAUCUUUGGCAACCACCUUUCCUGUUCCAGAUUUUAGCGACCAAGAUAUGUGUGAGAAGAUCAACUUUACCAUUGACAAGAGCCUGUUGUUAUCAAGUGUUGCUGAAAAGAAUCAAGUUGACAUGGAGGAAGCAGGAAAAGGUCUUGACUGGGUUUAUUCAAAGGAAAAAUACAAGGAAUAUUUGAAGCAGCUUCCAGACCUAAGCUCCGCCAAGAGCAAGGCAGAAUCCAUGGCAAACCCUCACGUGGUCCAGAAGCGCAAAGCAGUUUCAAUGAAGAAGAAUCUACAGUUGCCUCAAACCAAGGAGAAGAUGGCGAGUGCAGAUGCUGAAGUAAAUAUGGUCAAGGAAGCUGUGCUUCAAACUGAUACGCCAACUGUAGUGAGCAGAGAGCCAACCACCAUCACAUGA